rnacentral:rRNA from 1 species
GCCAGCAGCCAUAUCACCCCUCAUCUCACAACUGGCAACCCACGGAAGGGAAGCAGGUAUGAGCCUGGUCAGUACCUGGAUGGUGGACCUCCUGGGAAAAACUAGGUUUGCUGCUGGAA